GACGAACGCUGGCGGCGUGCUUAACACAUGCAAGUCGAACGGAAGGGCCCUGAUUUUGUGGGGUGCUCGAGAGGCGCACGGGUGAGUAUAACGUGAGUAACAUGCCCUUGAAUUUGGGAUAAAUUCUGGAAACUGGGGCUAAUACAGGAUAGGAGAUCCUGCUGCAUGGGGGGGGAAGGAAAGAUUCGGCGGUUGGGGAUGGAAUAGCGGCUUAUCAGCUUGUUGGUGGGGUAGUGGAUUACAAAGGCUUUGACGGGUAGCCGGCCUGAGAGGGUGACCGGCCACAUUGGGACUGAGGUACGGCCCAGACGCCUACGGGAGGCAGCAGUGGGGAAUAUUGCACAAUGGGCGGAAGCCUGAUGCAGCAACGCCGCGUGCGGGAUGACGGCCUUCGGGUUGUAAACCGCUUUCGCCUGUGACGAAGCGUUAGUGACGGUAAUGGGUAAGGAAGCACCGGCUAACUACGUG
rnacentral:rRNA from 1 species